GUUAUUGUAGCUUACAACUAAAGCAUGGCACUGAAGUUGCUAAGAUGGGUAACCACAUACCCCAAAAACA
rnacentral:tRNA from 1 species